GCGGAUGUAGCUCAGUUGGUAGAGCGUCUGCUUGCCAUGCAGAAGGUCGUGGGUUCGAGCCCCAUCAUCCGCU
rnacentral:tRNA from 2 species